GGAAGUAGGCUCUAAGCAGAACUUCUUGGCGUAGUAUUUGCCAGGCUUGAAGGCAAAUGAGUCAACACCACCGUCGAUGGUUGGGCACUGGUUAGCAGUUCCUGUUCCUUUUACUUCCAUGUAUGUCUUGCUCUGGAUUUCAUCGUAGGUUAGCCUCUUUGGAACUCCUUCAGCGUUUGCUCCCUUUAGAAAAGAGGGAAAAAAAAAAAAAACACAAGUACCAUUUGUUACAUCAGAUCACAUGCCAAUCAACCCUUCUAAGAUAAAACUGAAAUGAGAGUUUAUGCGUUUUAGAAACAGAUCAGCUUCAACUAGUCCUGGAGGAAGAGGUAUUGUUAACAAGUUUUCAUUGAAUAACAGACCAAUAUGCAUAUACUAAUACUACAUACGUUUUCCUACAUAACAGAUCACACCCUGUUUCAUUUCUUCAAUCAAAAAAGGGGUAUGGUAGGAUAUAUGCAUGCAGCCAGGGAUCUAUAGAAAAUUGUCACAAACCUUGCUAGUUACAACAACCAUAACAAGCUCAUAUUUUCAAAUAUUUGACUAUUCUCUUAGUAUCCUACCAAACAAACGAACAUAGAAUUGAACUUAGUCAGAGUGAGAAUACUAGGAAAAGCUCCCAUGCAAAAGAAUUCAGCUCACCCCCUCACAAGCAUUGAUAGUUAAACAAUUUCCAACCCAAAACAGAAAUGAAAUCAAGCAAAAGAACUAUACCGAGACAACAAGAGCAGAUGUAGCGAGAGCGAAACCAGCGAUCUUGGUAGCAUCAACACACUUUUGAGCCAAGUCCUUAAGGUCAGAUUGCAAAGAGCAAGUCAGCCUAGCUCCAACAGGCUCCAAACCAAAGGCCUUAGAAACGCUCUGGGAGGACCUAAGCUGCACGCUGGUCCUAGAUGGCACACCAACCUUGGUUGGUUGCAUGAGGGUAGCUGCUGCUUGUAGUG
rnacentral:lncRNA from 1 species